GGAAGAUGGCGGCGUGCUUACCAUGCAGUCGAACGGUGAAGCAGAGCUUGCUCUGUGGAUCAGUGGCGAACGGGUGAGUAACACGUGAGCAACCUGCCCCUGACUCUGGGAUAAGCGCUGGAAACGGCGUCUAAUACUGGAUAUGAGCUGCGACCGCAUGGUCAGCAGUUGGAAAGAUUUUUCGGUCUGGGAUGGGCUCACGGCCUAUCAGCUUGUUGGUGAGGUAAUGGCUCACCAAGGCGUCGACGGGUAGCCGGCCUGAGAGGGUGACCGGCCACACUGGGACUGAGACACGGCCCAGACUCCUACGGGAGGCAGCAGUGGGGAAUAUUGCACAAUGGGCGAAAGCCUGAUGCAGCAACGCCGCGUGAGGGAUGACGGCCUUCGGGUUGUAAACCUCUUUUAGCAGGGAAGAAGCGAAAGUGACGGUACCUGCAGAAAAAGCGCCGGCUAACUACGUGCCAGCAGCCGCGGUAAUACGUAGGGCGCAAGCGUUAUCCGGAAUUAUUGGGCGUAAAGAGCUCGUAGGCGGUUUGUCGCGUCUGCUGUGAAAUCCCGAGGCUCAACCUCGGGUCUGCAGUGGGUACGGGCAGACUAGAGUGCGGUAGGGGAGAUUGGAAUUCCUGGUGUAGCGGUGGAAUGCGCAGAUAUCAGGAGGAACACCGAUGGCGAAGGCAGAUCUCUGGGCCGUUACUGACGCUGAGGAGCGAAAGGGUGGGGAGCAAACAGGCUUAGAUACCCUGGUAGUCCACCCCGUAAACGUUGGGAACUAGUUGUGGGGUCCAUUCCACGGAUUCCGUGACGCAGCUAACGCAUUAAGUUCCCCGCCUGGGGAGUACGGCCGCAAGGCUAAAACUCAAAGGAAUUGACGGGGACCCGCACAAGCGGCGGAGCAUGCGGAUUAAUUCGAUGCAACGCGAAGAACCUUACCAAGGCUUGACAUAUACGAGAACGGGCCAGAAAUGGUCAACUCUUUGGACACUCGUAAACAGGUGGUGCAUGGUUGUCGUCAGCUCGUGUCGUGAGAUGUUGGGUUAAGUCCCGCAACGAGCGCAACCCUCGUUCUAUGUUGCCAGCACGUAAUGGUGGGAACUCAUGGGAUACUGCCGGGGUCAACUCGGAGGAAGGUGGGGAUGACGUCAAAUCAUCAUGCCCCUUAUGUCUUGGGCUUCACGCAUGCUACAAUGGCCGGUACAAAGGGCUGCAAUACCGCGAGGUGGAGCGAAUCCCAAAAAGCCGGUCCCAGUUCGGAUUGAGGUCUGCAACUCGACCUCAUGAAGUCGGAGUCGCUAGUAAUCGCAGAUCAGCAACGCUGCGGUGAAUACGUUCCCGGGUCUUGUACACACCGCCCGUCAAGUCAUGAAAGUCGGUAACACCUGAAGCCGGUGGCCCAACCCUUGUGGAGGGAGCCGUCGAAGGUGCAUCGCAGCCCU
rnacentral:rRNA from 1 species